rnacentral:rRNA from 1 species
CCUACGGGAGGCAGCAGUGAGGAAUAUUGGUCAAUGGGCGCUAGCCUGAACCAGCCAAGUCGCGUGAAGGAUGACUGCCCUAUGGGUUGUAAACUUCUUUUAUAUGGGAAUAAAGUGCAGUAUGUAUACUGCUUUGCAUGUACCUUAUGAAUAAGGAUCGGCUAACUCCGUGCCAGCCGCCGCGGUAAUACGGAGGAUCCGAGCGUUAUCCGGAUUUGUUGGGUUUAAAGGGUGCGUAGGCGGGUUUUUAAGUCAGUGGUGAAAGUUUGCGGCUCAACCGUAAAAUUGCAGUUGAUACUGGCAUCCUUGAGUACGGUAGAGGUAGGCGGAAUUCGUGGUGUAGCGGUGAAAUGCGUAGAUAUCACGAAGAACUCCGAUUGCGAAGGCAGCCUGCUGGACUGUAACUGACGCUGAUGCUCGAAAGUGUGGGGAUCAAACAGGAUUAGAUACCCUAGUAGUC